CUACGGGCGGCACCAGUGGGGAAUCUUAGACAAUGGGCGCAAGCCUGAUCUAGCCAUGCCGCGUGAGUGACGAAGGCCUUAGGGUCGUAAAGCUCUUUCGCUAGGGAAGAUAAUGACUGUACCUAGUAAAGAAACCCCGGCUAACUCCGUGCCAGCAGCCGCGGUAAUACGGAGGGGGUUAGCGUUGUUCGGAAUUACUGGGCGUAAAGCGCGCGUAGGCGGAUCAGAAAGUUGGGGGUGAAAUCCCAGGGCUCAACCCUGGAACUGCCUCCAAAACUCCUGGUCUUGAGUUCGAGAGAGGUGAGUGGAAUUCCGAGUGUAGAGGUGAAAUUCGUAGAUAUUCGGAGGAACACCAGUGGCGAAGGCGGCUCACUGGCUCGAUACUGACGCUGAGGUGCGAAAGCGUGGGGAGCAAACAGGAUUAGAUACCCGAGUAGUC
rnacentral:rRNA from 1 species